rnacentral:rRNA from 1 species
CAGCCGCCGCGGUAAUACGAAGGGUGCAAGCGUUAAUCGGAAUUACUGGGCGUAAAGCGUGCGUAGGCGGUGAGUUAAGUCUGCUGUGAAAUCCCCGGGCUCAGCCUGGGAAUGGCAGUGGAUACUGGCUCGCUAGAGUGUGUCAGAGGAUGUGGAAUUCCCGGUGUAGCGGUGAAAUGCGUAGAGAUCGGGAGGAACAUCAGUGGCGAAGGCGGCCAUCUGGGACAACACUGACGCUGAGGCACGAAAGCGUGGGGAGCAAACAGGAUUAGAUACCCCAGUAGUCCCUGUCUCUUAUACA